GACGAACCGAGCGAACGUUGUUCGGAAUCACUGGGCUUAAAGGGCGCGUAGGCGGGCUGUCAAGUCUGGGGUGAAAUCCCACGGCUCAACCGUGGAACUGCCUUAGAUACUGACGGCCUCGAGGGAGAUAGGGGCGAGCGGAACUGUGAGUGGAGCGGUGAAAUGCGUUGAUAUUCACAGGAACUCCGGUGGCGAAGGCGGCUCGCUGGAUCUUUUCCGACGCUGAGGCGCGAAAGCUAGGGGAGCAAACGGG
rnacentral:rRNA from 1 species